rnacentral:misc_RNA from 1 species
AGACUUCUUGAAAGGGCCCCUCCCAAAGGGCUCUCUAGCUGCACGAGGGAAAGCAGCGAGGUACGGGCCAUCGCUCGUCUACUUCAAGAGAUACGAUACGACGGCCCUCCCAACUGAGGCUGAUUUGGCGCACGACUUACUGGCUAUCACGGCUCUGCUUCGGCGGCUCGGAGAUUCUGGGCAAUUCCGUGCUGACCAGAUUCAAGACGAACCAGAAAGGAUUGCCGUAAGGAUUCACGGUCGCACGUUUCAGUUUACGGAGCAGGAUGUCGAGAACGCCUUCACUGCAACUGAUGAGCGACAGUGGAAGGAUUUG